ensembl:snRNA U1 U1 spliceosomal RNA
AUACCUGGCAGGGGAGAUACCAUGCUCACGAAGGUGGUUUUUCCCAGGAUGAGGUUUAUGCAUUGCACUGCAGAUGUGUUGACCCCCUGCGAUUUCCCCAAAUGUGGGAAACUCGACUGCAUAAUUUGUGCUAGUGUGGGACUGUGUUCUCGCUCUUUCCUG